rnacentral:rRNA from 1 species
CCUACGGGAGGCAGCAGUGGGGAAUAUUGGGCAAUGGGCGCAAGCCUGACCCAGCAACGCCGCGUGAAGGAAGAAGGCUUUCGGGUUGUAAACUUCUUUUCACAGGGACGAAGCAAGUGACGGUACCGGAGGAAUAAGCCACGGCUAACUACGGGCCAGCAGCCGCGGUAAGACGUAGGUGGCAAGCGUUAGCCGGAUUUACUGGGUGUACCGGGCGGGUAGGCGGGAAAGUAAGGCAGAUGUGCAAACCAUGGGCUCACCCUUUGGCCUGCAUUUGAAACUGUUUUUCUUGCGUACUGGCGAGGCAGCCGGACUUCCUCGUGUAGCGGUGUACUGCGUAGAUAUUAGG